rnacentral:rRNA from 1 species
GUCUUUAUGGGAUUUAUGUAAAGUCUAGCCUGCCCAAUGAUGUAGAAUUUAAUGGCCGCGGUAUAUUGACUGUGCGAAGGUAGCAUAAUAAUUAGCCCUUUAAUUGAGGGCUGGAAUGAAAGGUUGAACAAAAAGUUAGCUGUCUCUGUGCCAAAUCUUGAAUUUAACUUUUAAGUGAAAAGGCUUAAAUGGGCUAGGGGGACGAUAAGACCCUAUGAAUCUUUAUAUUUUAUUUUAUAUGGUGAAAGAGUUAUAAAGAAUUUUGCCUAAUAUUACUAAAUAUUUCGUUGGGGCGACGGAAGCAUAAGAUGUAACUGCUUUAGAUUUUACAGUUAGAUGGCGUCUAGUUAAGUGAUCCCUUAAUAAGGAUUGUUAGUCUAAGUUACUCUAGGGAUAACAGCGUAAUUUUUCUUGAGAGUCCAUAUCGAGAGAAAAGUUUGCGACCUCGAUGUUGAAUUAAAGACCCUUUGUGACGGAGAGGUUACAAAAGGAGGUCUGUUCGACCUUUAAAUCUUUACAUGAUUUGAGUUCAGACCGGCGUGAG